UGAGCACGACGGGUGGUCGCGGGUUGCAAGACCCGAGGAAAGUCCGGGCUCCAGAGGGCAGGGUGCUGGGUAAUCCCCAGGAGGGGUGACCCUACGGAUAGUGCCACAGAGAGUAAACCGCCUUGGCGCCCCGAAAAGGUGCUGGGGCAAGGGUGAAACGGUGGUGUAAGAGACCACCAGUGGCCCGGGCGACCGGGCCAGCUCGGAAAACCCCACCCGGAGCAAGGCCAAGUAGGAGGGCAAGGGAGUGGCCCGCUCCGCCCUCGGGUUGGCCGCUCGAGGCGUCGAGCAAUCGGCGCCCUAGAUAGAUGACCACCACCCCCGCGAGAGGGCACAGAACCCGGCUUACAGGCGUGCUCAGGCU
rnacentral:RNase_P_RNA from 1 species